rnacentral:rRNA from 1 species
GACGAACGUUGGCGGCGUGCUUAAUACAUGCAAGUCCACUGAAGCAGUGGUAGCAAUAUCGCUGUGGAGGUGGCGCACGGGUGAGUAACACGUAGGUAAUCUGCCUUCAGGUCUGGCAUAACUCCGGGAAACCGGGGCUAAUAGCAGAUGAUGCAGCGGCUCGACAUCGAGACAGUUGUUAAAGCUAUGGCGCCUGAAGAUGAGCCUGCGUCUGAUUAGCUAGUUGGCGGGGUAACGGCCCACCAAGGCAACGAUCAGUAGCUGGUCUGAGAGGAUGAUCAGCCACACUGGAACUGAGACACGGUCCAGACUCCUACGGGAGGCAGCAGUAAGGAAUAUUGCUCAAUGGGAGAAAUCCUGAAGCAGCAACGCCGCGUGAGGGACGAAGGGCUUUUGCUUGUAAACCUCUGUAGGGAGAGAAAAAAAUCCCAAUCUUUGGGACAUGAUGGUAGCUCAAAAGUAAGCCCCGGCUAACUACGUG